AGAUACUAGGGCAAUCUGGCUGUGACAUCUGUUACCCCAUUGAUCACCAGGGUUGAUUCAGCUCAUCUGGCUGGCUAGGCAAGUGUUCCCUUCCUGCCUCACUGCUCCAUGUGCAUCCCUCCAGAAGCUGUGUGCUGAGUUGUAGAGAACUACCUUCUCGAAUAGGGGAGGACCAUUUUUUUGAUCAAGAAUAUAAGAGUAACUGCUGUCCUCUGCUAGAACCUCCAAAACAAGAUCUCAAGGUCCAAAAAGCAAAGGUCAAUUGUUCUCUUUGAUACGUGGAUGAUAACAC
ensembl:misc_RNA 7SK 7SK RNA